UACGAAGGGGGCGAGCGUUGUUCGGAAUUACUGGGCGUAAAGGGCGUGUAGGCGGCCCCUUUUGUCGCGUGUGAAAGCCCCGGGCUCAACCCGGGAACUGCGUCCGAUACUGGAAGGCUUGAAUCCGGGAGAGGGAUGUGGAAUUCCAGGUGUAGCGGUGAAAUGCGUAGAUAUCUGGAGGAACACCGGUGGCGAAGGCGACAUCCUGGGACCGGUAUUGACGCUGAGGCGCGAAA
rnacentral:rRNA from 1 species